UACAGAGGGUGCGAGCGUUGUUCGGAAUUAUUGGGCGUAAAGAGCUUGUAGGCGGUCUGUCGCGUCUGCUGUGAAAAUCCGGGGCUCAACCCCGGACUUGCAGUGGGUACGGGCAGACUAGAGUGUGGUAGGGGAGACUGGAAUUCCUGGUGUAGCGGUGAAAUGCGCAGAUAUCAGGAGGAACACCGAUGGCGAAGGCAGGUCUCUGGGCCACUACUGACGCUGAGAAGCGAAAGCAUGGGGAGCGAACAGG
rnacentral:rRNA from 1 species